rnacentral:lncRNA from 1 species
CGUCGAGAUGUUUAUUCGUCUUAGGCGUCGAGAUAUCAAUUAAUUUUGGGCAUCGAGAUAUUUAAUUUAUCUAAAGCAUCGAGAUAUCAAUUCAUCUUAGGCGUCUAGUUAUUUAAUUCGUCUUAAACGACGAGCUAUUUAAUUUGUCCUGAUCGUCAAGAUGCCCAAGACAUCAACCAUACAAGUCCUCGUGCCUUGAAAAAACGUCGAUAAGUAAAACAUUAAUUAAGUCGAGCAAAAUACUUUAAUUUCCCCAAAACACAAAAAAAAAUGUCAUUAUGUUCAAUAUAAAUGAUCAAGUACUCUAGUCCUCGAUAUUCUGGCUGGGCUAGUCUUCCUCGGCGUCGUCACCUUUGAUGUCCACCUCCUCGUCAUCAACAUUCUCCUCCGACUUGGAGAGGGCGAGGUCCUCAGCCACCCGUGGGAUAGUCUUCAAGUCCUCGGGCCUUGUGUCUAGCUUCGAGCAGAUGAAUGCUCGAGCCUCUUUCAGGGUAUGAAAGUACGAGCUCAUUGCGUAUUCACCCUUGAGCUCAUUGAAAACGUUAGACUUCUUGAAGUCCACGACUGCAUCCGCCCGAGCUUGAACCAGCCUCCCUUCAUAAUCCCUAUGAAUACUUUCAAGCUCGAGCUUUAUCUCCUCAGCCUCAUCCUUCAUAACACCAACCUCUUCUCGAGCUUUCAUGAACUCACUAUUUAUCUUCUCACGCUCCCUCAGCAGCUAAGCGUGCUCGGCCUCAAGAUCGGCAAUUCUCCCAUCACGAGCAAUGAGGGAGUCCUCGAGGUCAGCCAAGUUGGAGGACUCAUCUUUCCCCUUCAAAGAUAGACCUCAAGCGAUGCUUAACGUCUGGAAAAAAUAG